UACGUAGGGUGCAAGCGUUGUCCGGAAUUAUCGGGCGUAAAGAGCGUGUAGGCGGCCCGAUUAGUCCGCUGUGAAAGUCCAGGGCUCAACCCUGGAAUGCCGGUGGAUACUGUCGGGCUAGAGUCCGGAAGAGGAGAGUGGAAUUCCCGGUGUAGCGGUGAAAUGCGCAGAUAUCGGGAAGAACACCCGUGGCGAAGGCGGCUCUCUGGGACGGUACUGACGCUGAGACACGAAAGCGUGGGGAGCGAACAGG
rnacentral:rRNA from 1 species